AAGGAGUUUCCACUUAUCGAUUGUGGCAAAAGAAGAGGAAAAAAGGUCAAGGUGAACUGAAGAAAAUAAGUCUUUCCCCAAAGGAGGUAGAAGAUGGGGAAGAUGAGAUGUCAGAAGCUAAGGACAAUGGCAGUAGAGAUGAGGUUCUUGUCCCUCAUAAGAAUUGCAGGAAGAAUACCACUGUCCCGGGAAAGAAAGGGGAGGAAAAGUCUCUGGCUCCUGUGUUUGCUGAGAAGUUAAUAUCACCAAGCAGGAGGGGAGCCAAGCUCAAGGACCGUGAGAGCCACCAGGAGAAUGAAGACAGGAACAAACCUAUCAAAGAAACACCUGAUAAACAAAAGAAGGAAAUGGCCAAUCAGAAAGAGUCCCCUGGAGCCAAAAAGCAGAAAUUAGAAGCAACUGAACCACGUGUAGCAUUCCAACUGUUUGUUGGAAACCUGAAUUUCAGCAAAACUGCUGCUGAACUAAAAGUUGGCCUCAGUGAAUUUUUUGCUAAAAAUGAUCUUGAAGUUGUUGGUGUCAAAGUUGGCUUGUCCAGGUAAAUACCAAUCAACUAAGAAGGUUUUUAAGAGCAUAUCAGCCCAGCACUUACUAUUCCUGGAGAAUUUAGAUGUUCCAGUAGCUUUGUAGUACUUCAUGAUGGUUCAUAGGCUGCUGUCUUCUCAGGUCCUUUU
rnacentral:lncRNA from 1 species